UGAAUCGUCUGGAAUGUAGAUUUUUAAUGAAUCUAGUAUGGUGUCAAUCCUGAAAAUUCCAAUUCUCAGAAGUAUCGAUUCUCUUUCGUUGAUUAAACUUUACUUUAAAUAAACUUCUUUUGAUGUUGUUCUUCAUCAAACCUCUGUUGGUUGGAAAUUCACGGAGUUCGAUCGGAGUUGUGGUUACUAAUGGUUCUUGAUGUGAAGUUUGAUUUGGACCUGAUGCUUCACUGCUACGUCUUCAAACAGAAUUAAGCAUAAUUCUCAGAUUUGGAAUUUGGUUUAAAUCACUUGAGCUCUUAGGAGAUUUAGGUUUCCAAUUCGUUUUAUUGGAACUUGAUUCUUCUAUCUCAACUGCUUAAAUCGAAUCAAAGUUGAUUGAGUCUGAAGAUGUUCUAGUCAGCUACACCAAGGUCUAAUUUAGACGAAAACUUAAAUUUGUUCCACUGAAUUGGAUUCAACAGAAGGUUGAGAGUUUGUGGGUGAAAAUGAUGUUGCACAUAGUGCUUAACAGAUCAUUCUUCAUACUUCCAAUCUCAAUUCUUAUUUCAAAGCAGUCCUCACUGCGAUGUUGAGUAUCUUGCACCUUUGAUGAUGUUUCUGAGUUUGGACAUCGAAUUGGAGUUGGUGUGUGUACUAGAUCAGAGAAUGGAGUUCUCUUUGUUGAGUCUACAUUAAAUUCCGAAUGUAGCUUGGUGUCUUUAUCUUUUACUAUCAUGUUUGUUAUUUUGAAUGAAUAAUAUAAGUUCCAGCUGAGAUUAUGUUGUGACUACAUCAAUAGAAUAAGUGGAAAGAUUGGAUAAGUGACUCUUAGUUCUUGAUGUUGGCAAGAGGUAUUGAGUAUUGCAGCUAUAAAGUUCUAUGGUUGUGUUGGUUGUUA